GAAUAUGGGGGGCCCAUCCUCCAAGGCUAAAUACUCCUGACUGACCGAUAGUGAACCAGUACCGUGAGGGAAAGGCGAAAAGAACCCCGGCGAGGGGAGUGAAAAAGAACCUGAAACCGUGUACGUACAAGCAGUGGGAGCACGCUUAGGCGUGUGACUGCGUACCUUUUGUAUAAUGGGUCAGCGACUUAUAUUCUGUAGCAAGGUUAACCGAAUAGGGGAGCCGAAGGGAAACCGAGUCUUAACUGGGCGUUAAGUUGCAGGGUAUAGACCCGAAACCCGGUGAUCUAGCCAUGGGCAGGUUGAAGGUUGGGUAACACUAACUGGAGGACCGAACCGACUAAUGUUGAAAAAUUAGCGGAUGACUUGUGGCUGGGGGUGAAAGGCCAAUCAAACCGGGAGAUAGCUGGUUCUCCCCGAAAGCUAUUUAGGUAGCGCCUCGUGAAUUCAUCUCCGGGGGUAGAGCACUGUUUCGGCAAGGGGGUCAUCCCGACUUACCAACCCGAUGCAAACUGCGAAUACCGGAGAAUGUUAUCACGGGAGACACACGGCGGGUGCUAACGUCCGUCGUGAAGAGGGAAACAACCCAGACCGCCAGCUAAGGUCCCAAAGUCAUGGUUAAGUGGGAAACGAUGUGGGAAGGCCCAGACAGCCAGGAUGUUGGCUUAGAAGCAGCCAUCAUUUAAAGAAAGCGUAAUAGCUCACUGGUCGAGUCGGCCUGCGCGGAAGAUGUAACGGGGCUAAACCAUGCACCGAAGCUGCGGCAGCGACGCUUAUGCGUUGUUGGGUAGGGGAGCGUUCUGUAAGCCUGCGAAGGUGUGCUGUGAGGCAUGCUGGAGGUAUCAGAAGUGCGAAUGCUGACAUAAGUAACGAUAAAGCGGGUGAAAAGCCCGCUCGCCGGAAGACCAAGGGUUCCUGUCCAACGUUAAUCGGGGCAGGGUGAGUCGACCCCUAAGGCGAGGCCGAAAGGCGUAGUCGAUGGGAAACAGGUUAAUAUUCCUGUACUUGGUGUUACUGCGAAGGGGGGACGGAGAAGGCUAUGUUGGCCGGGCGACGGUUGUCCCGGUUUAAGCGUGUAGGCUGGUUUUCCAGGCAAAUCCGGAAAAUCAAGGCUGAGGCGUGAUGACGAGGCACUACGGUGCUGAAGCAACAAAUGCCCUGCUUCCAGGAAAAGCCUCUAAGCAUCAGGUAACAUCAAAUCGUACCCCAAACCGACACAGGUGGUCAGGUAGAGAAUACCAAGGCGCUUGAGAGAACUCGGGUGAAGGAACUAGGCAAAAUGGUGCCGUAACUUCGGGAGAAGGCACGCUGAUAUGUAGGUGAAGUCCCUUGCGGAUGGAGCUGAAAUCAGUCGAAGAUACCAGCUGGCUGCAACUGUUUAUUAAAAACACAGCACUGUGCAAACACGAAAGUGGACGUAUACGGUGUGACGCCUGCCCGGUGCCGGAAGGUUAAUUGAUGGGGUCAGCGCAAGCGAAGCUCUUGAUCGAAGCCCCGGUAAACGGCGGCCGUAACUAUAACGGUCCUAAGGUAGCGAAAUUCCUUGUCGGGUAAGUUCCGACCUGCACGAAUGGCGUAAUGAUGGCCAGGCUGUCUCCACCCGAGACUCAGUGAAAUUGAACUCGCUGUGAAGAUGCAGUGUACCCGCGGCAAGACGGAAAGACCCCGUGAACCUUUACUAUAGCUUGACACUGAACAUUGAGCCUUGAUGUGUAGGAUAGGUGGGAGGCUUUGAAGUGUGGACGCCAGUCUGCAUGGAGCCGGCCUUGAAAUACCACCCUUUAAUGUUUGAUGUUCUAACGUGGACCCGUGAUCCGGGUUGCGGACAGUGUCUGGUGGGUAGUUUGACUGGGGCGGUCUCCUCCUAAAGAGUAACGGAGGAGCACGAAGGUUGGCUAAUCCUGGUCGGACAUCAGGAGGUUAGUGCAAUGGCAUAAGCCAGCUUGACUGCGAGCGUGACGGCGCGAGCAGGUGCGAAAGCAGGUCAUAGUGAUCCGGUGGUUCUGAAUGGAAGGGCCAUCGCUCAACGGAUAAAAGGUACUCCGGGGAUAACAGGCUGAUACCGCCCAAGAGUUCAUAUCGACGGCGGUGUUUGGCACCUCGAUGUCGGCUCAUCACAUCCUGGGGCUGAAGUAGGUCCCAAGGGUAUGGCUGUUCGCCAUUUAAAGUGGUACGCGAGCUGGGUUUAGAACGUCGUGAGACAGUUCGGUCCCUAUCUGCCGUGGGCGCUGGAGAACUGAGGGGGGCUGCUCCUAGUACGAGAGGACCGGAGUGGACGCAUCACUGGUGUUCGGGUUGUCAUGCCAAUGGCACUGCCCGGUAGCUAAAUGCGGAAGAGAUAAGUGCUGAAAGCAUCUAAGCACGAAACUUGCCCCGAGAUGAGUUCUCCCUGACCCUUUAAGGGUCCUGAAGGAACGUUGAAGACGACGA
rnacentral:rRNA from 1 species